rnacentral:tRNA from 1 species
GGUUUUGUAGUGUAGUGGUUAUCACACCGGAUUUUGAGGAGAUCUUUGAAAUUUCCGGUAACCCAAGUUCGAAUCUUGGCAAGACCU